AAAGGGAGACCUAAUUCGGGUAGGAGACGAAAAAAAAGUAGUCCCUACCAAGAAUCAAUCCCAAAAGGUCGGAGCGAGGCGAAAUUGGCUUUCAAACUAGGUCCUGGGUUCACACAAGACCUGAAUCAGGAACAAGGGCUAUUAGCUCAGGUGGUUAGAGCGCACCCCUGAUAAGGGUGAGGUCCCCGGUUCGAGUCCAGGAUGGCCCACCUGCACAGGUGGCAAAAACAAAGAAAAAAAGCUCCGAAUCAGCACCUUAUCUUACUUAUAUAGUAAGAGAGAAUGCUGGCUCUGAGUUCAGAGUCCAGAGGAACCUUGAAAACUGCAUAGAGCUAGGUGAAAAAGCCAAAAAAGAAGACCGUCAG
rnacentral:tRNA from 1 species